GAUAUAGCAAGAACAGUCACAAAACACACACCUUAGUAUCAAAUUGCUGCCGCAAAACAGGGUAAUCACUUGAUCGCUAUUACGAUUCAUUUUCCGAGAUCAAUAUAUCCAAUGAAUGUUUAAGUGCCGCCCACACCAGGGUGAUACUUUGUCGUUCGUCGUUAAAUCAAUGGAUGUUUAAGUAUCGCACUUUGUCGUUCGUUGUGAGAAUUUGAUUUCGUGAGUUAUCGUGACUGCUGUAUUGAUCACUAACCCAGUUUUGUGUGCAUUAUUAUUAUUUUAGGUUAAACAAGGCUAAAUCAUAUUCUGUCCGUGUUAAAACUGCAAUGUGAGUCAUUCUCUUUUUAUCAAAUGUUUUACAAUACUCCAAAUUAUUUUCAGAAUUAUAAAUUACAGUGACUAAGUUUAUGUAAUCACCAAAUUACAGCCAGUAUGUGGGGUAUUGUGCACAUUACUACUGUUUUUAUCACUUUAGGUGGGCGAACCUAAAAUUUAGUGAUACGUCAUUCAUUGGGGCGGGCAGCCAAUGGUGAUAUGACCACUGUCACAGAUCCGGUCGAGUGACAAAUACUGUGGGUAGUUGGUUGAUAUCAGAAACAUAUGUAAAAGAUCUUAAUACUGUAAAUUAUAAUAAAUGCGUCGUUUUUAGUAAAUAGAAUGAUUCACUCAGUAUUUCCCCGCUGACAAAACCUUUUUCAAACAUGUUUCAGGUGAUCUAUUGUAAUUCAGGAAAAGUGCUGGGAAGCAGUGCAGGCUUAAAAUAGUGGCUCAUUAUAAAAUAAAUACGUUUUGUAAAAAUAAGGAUUUCUCAGUAAAACCUUAUUAUUGUAAAUUAUCGGGAUUUUAUCCCGAGUUGUGAAAUAAAAUAAUCGGGAAAAGUUUUUAGCUUUAAAACGAUCCUGAUGAUAAUAAACUUCCGCUGCUAAAUAAAAUCACAUAAUUAAAUAUCACGGGAUUUCUGUCCCGCGGCUCCUGAAACGGGUCAAACCGGGUCGGGGGCCGUGACAGAAAUGAGGUGGUAUCAGAGCCACUGAGUUAAGCUAAUUAAGUAUUUAAAAGAUACUUAAUUUUUCCUGAUUACUAUUAUGUGAUUAUGUGUUUUAUUAAACUGAUUAUUUGUUAGUUACAGUAUCGGUAAGAAAAAGCUGCAAGAUAUCUAUCUUAAAUUAGAUAGGUCAAUCUAUGAAGAGGGAAGUUCAUCUUCAAAACUCCCUACAAUUCCUGAAGAAGGAAUAUUUGUGCGAAAAGCACAAUAUGAAAAACCGCUUUCUCCUAGAAAAAGGAGUAUGAUUAUUAAGAAAAGUAAAGAGCAAAUCCGAGAAAAGAGGAUUAAAAAGGAAACCCAGGAGUUAAUCAAUAAAUCACUAUAAGAAGAUAAGCUAGAUGAGAAAUGGGCAAAUUUGUAUAUGUUAGCUACAGUAGCAGAACAUGCAAAUCUUUAAAAAACCCUAAGUCUAGUAAUAGCACUUCCCAGUAAAUAAAUAAAUAAAUCCGAGUGUGUUCUUUCCUGUAUUUUGUACAAAUAGUGUGCAAUAAAACUUUGAUGUUUAUUGCAUGAAUGAGAUAUCUGAAGCCUUUCAGAACCUCGAUCUUUACCCGGUGAAUGUAGAAGUUUCCCAAGAUUUCACUGGAUACUUUGCUGAUGUGGAACAACUUGUAGAAUUCCAUGCUCCACCUUUGC
rnacentral:lncRNA from 1 species